ACUUGGCCCCUGAGUACAUAUGGGUACAUGGUUAGGGACUCAGGAGCAGAUCUAGGGAAGAAAACCUGGAGCUUUGGCCUCUGACUUUCUGCGGUACUAGUUCUAGGUCUUUCUUGUUAGGGAAAUCUUGACAAAUCCUGCCUUCCAUUGUUAAGUAUCUCUGUUUGUUUACUCUGAAUCUGGGUUAGCUCUGUCCCCCAGGCUGGCCUAGAACUUCUGGCAGCCCUAGCUUUCCUACCUAGAGCUGGGAUUAUAGGCUUGCAUGGUCACACAGGCCUAAAAUUUUUUGGCUUGCUAAUCUCAUGCUAACACUCUUUGUCUGUCUGUCUGUCUGUCUCUCUCUCUCUCUCUCUCGCCUUAUACUUCAAUGGUCUUAUACUUCAGUGGUAUACUUCAAUGCUCUGGAACUUACCAUGUAUCCCAAGUUAUCCUCAAACUCAAAGCUGUCCUCCUGCCUCAGCUUGCCAAGUACUGGGUUAUAGGCGUGUACCACCUUCCCCUUCUUACUAAAUAUGUUUGCCUAGAAAUGGUACUUCGUACCCAGAUCAGUUGGAUUUUCAUGAGGAAUUGUUGUUAGGGGGACCCUUGCAAUAAAUACCCCUUUCCAGUUAUAAGCUCUGGGGAUACAUAGAUAGAAAUAUGUAUCUCUGUGUUUGCUCCGUUUAAUGUAGUUCAAGGGGAACUUAAUGACUCAGACAUUCAGGCUCCAGUGAGGUGGUUUAACAAGUUAAGACGUUUGCUGCUCAGCUUGAUGAUCUGAUUUCUGUCCUUGGAACCCAGAUGGUGGAAGGAGAGAGAAAGGUUGUCGUUAGAACCCCGCAUAGACUGCAGGCAUGAUGCUUGUGAUUGUUCAUGUGCAGGUGUGUGUGUGUGUGUGUGUGUGUGUGCGCGCGCGCGCACACACACAUUCUUUCUGUCUCUCUCAUAGACACACAUAUACAUGCAGACAAUAGUGUAUGUACCAAUAGAUAGAUAGAUGGAUAGACAGAUAGAAUCAAAGUGUUUAGAGACUUUAGAGAUUUAAGCAUUCUGCUAUUACAGUCUACCAGUAGAUAUUUCAUAUUGUUAUCCUUUAGAGCACUCAAAAAUCCUGAAAAGUCCUUUGAGACUUCCACUAUCACUAGAAACUGCUUUUAGUAAAAUGGUGGUAGUAGUUGAAUGUUCACGUUUGCUGUAUAUGCUGACUUCUUAGUCACCAUGACAUUUGAAUUAUGGUAUUCCUUUUCCUAACACCAUUUGACAGCAGUGCGACUAAGUGAGUAUGUAUUUGUAAGAAUAAUCAGGGUGCUGGCAGGGCUGACAGAGGGGGGUGGCGUGAGGAAUACUGAGUGUGCCUGUGUUGAAGGGUGGACAUGGAACUGUGAUCUUUCUAGAAACGUAAGCGUGUGUUUUGAGAGUCAUUGAGCUGAGAGCUGUUGAGGAGUCAUGAGGAGUCAGUAAAUAGCCUGUGCAGGUCAGGUGCCUCCCAAGGCCACACACUGGGCUGUUCUUCUACUGUCUCAUCUAGAUCUUUUAAUCUUAGUCAGCAGUCAGCAUGUGGAGGCAGGAGGAUCACCUUCUACUGUCUACCGCCCUGGUUUUGUUUUGUUUUGUUUUGUGUGUCCUUGUAGAAUCUGAGCAGCCUGCAGCAGGUAUAGAAGGAUUGCUGGAACUGUUAGGAGCAUGGCCAGCGUUAUUGUGGCUGAGUCUGUAGGCUGAGGGAGGUGCAGAUGGGAGGUCAAGGGGCAGAGACAGCUAAGCAGUCUCCUUCCCCAUUCCUGGAGCCUUCCUUCUUUCUCCCUUUGCUCCUUCGUCCUUCUGGGCUCUGUUCCUCCCCCUCCCUCCCUUCCUUUCUUUUGAUAAAACCAUAAAGAGAUAAUUUGUUGCUGGACCUAAGUGUGGUGGCAUGCCUGUUAUCCCAGCACUGAGGAGGCUAAGGCAGGAAGUUUACCAAUUUGAGGCUAGCCUGGGCUACAUAGCUAGUCUCUGUC
rnacentral:lncRNA from 1 species